AUGGAGGAAUGGAGCAGGAAGAGGAACGCGGGAGCCGAGUUGGGGGCCAAAAUUACCACACCUCAAAAAAUCUCUGAAACUGCAGAGGAAAACAUGAACUCACUUGCAAUUGUGCCGGCAGUUUUGAUGGAUGUGAGUCCACCACCGCACAGGGACCUGAAGAGAACCAAGAAGACGGAGGAGGACUCCGAAGGGCUAACAAAGGUGAAUGUUGAUGCUGCAGUGGGGAGGGGAAGGAGACAUGGUUCUGUUGCGGCUAUAUCGAGGGACUCCACUGGCCAGUUUCUAGGAGCAUCGGCUGUGGUCUUUGGAGGCAUAUCGGAUCCCGCGACUCUCGAAUGCAUGGCAAUCAGGGAGGCGCUGGCCCUUGCUAAUGAUCUGAAUGUGUCAAACAUACAAGUGGCGUCGGACUCAAAGGUGGUGGUUGAGGAUAUCCGAGAGAAUAACUCAACAUCGUAUGGAGCUCGAAUAUCGAGGCUCACAAGCUCGCGAAGCAUGCUUUAUCCCUUCCGGCUGGCCGACAUGUUUGGUUAG
rnacentral:rRNA from 1 species